CUCAGAUUGAACGCUGGCGGCAGGCCUAACACAUGCAAGUCGAGCGGCAGCACGGGUACUUGUACCUGGUGGCGAGCGGCGGACGGGUGAGUAAUGCCUAGGAAUCUGCCUGGUAGUGGGGGAUAACGCUCGGAAACGGACGCUAAUACCGCAUACGUCCUACGGGAGAAAGCAGGGGACCUUCGGGCCUUGCGCUAUCAGAUGAGCCUAGGUCGGAUUAGCUAGUUGGUGAGGUAAUGGCUCACCAAGGCGACGAUCCGUAACUGGUCUGAGAGGAUGAUCAGUCACACUGGAACUGAGACACGGUCCAGACUCCUACGGGAGGCAGCAGUGGGGAAUAUUGGACAAUGGGCGAAAGCCUGAUCCAGCCAUGCCGCGUGUGUGAAGAAGGUCUUCGGAUUGUAAAGCACUUUAAGUUGGGAGGAAGGGCAGUAAAUUAAUACUUUGCUGUUUUGACGUACCGACAGAAUAGCUC
rnacentral:rRNA from 1 species